rnacentral:rRNA from 1 species
UACGGAGGGGCUAGCGUUGUUCGGAAUUACUGGGCGUAAAGCGCGCGUAGGCGGCUUUGUAAGUCAGAGGUGAAAUCCCGGGGCUCAACUCCGGAACUGCCUUUGAAACUGCAUCGCUUGAAUCCGGGAGAGGUGAGUGGAAUUCCGAGUGUAGAGGUGAAAUUCGUAGAUAUUCGGAAGAACACCAGUGGCGAAGGCGGCUCACUGGACCGGCAUUGACGCUGAGGUGCGAAAGCGUGGGGAGCAAACAGGG